AUUGAUACAUGAUAUUUGAUUUCUUUUAACCAAAUACAAGCAUUCAACAUAUUACAUUCUUUUUCCACUUUACAUCACAUAACAUCACAUAACCUCAUAUGAAUUUACAUCAUUUAUACAUCAUCAUAUACAAAAGAUGAUACUAAACAAGGUACAAAACUAAACCCGGUAAGUCGCUACCUAGGGCGACUUAGGGCUCUUCAAAACUUACAAUUGGUAUCAGAGCCGGAUCUAGAUAUAUUAUUAUCUAAUGGCCGAAGGCGGUAACAUUAAUCGACCACCACU
rnacentral:lncRNA from 1 species